rnacentral:rRNA from 1 species
CGACGGUUGUCCCGGUUUAAGCGUGUAGGUGUGUGUUCCAGGUAAAUCCGGUUCACUUUAACACUGAGGCGUGAUGACGAGGAACUACGGUGCUGAAGCAACAAAUGCCCUGCUUCCAGGAAAAGCCCGCUCGCCGGAAGACCAAGGGUUCCUGUCCAACGUUAAUCGGGGCAGGGUGAGUCGACCCCUAAGGCGAGGCCGAAAGGCGUAGUCGAUGGGAAACGGGUUAAUAUUCCCGUACUUGGU